GAUGAACGCUGGCGGCGUGCCUAAUACAUGCAAGUCGAGCGAACAGACGCGGCGCUUGCUCCUCUGACGUUAGCGGCGGACGUGUGAGUAACACGUGUAUAACCUCCCUAUAUGACUGGGAUCACUUCGGGAAACCGGAGCUAAUCCCGGAUAAUCUCUUGCACCGUAUUGUUCAAUAGUGAAAUACGGUUUUUCUGUCACUUCUCGCUGGAUCCGGGCCGCAUUAUCUAGUUGGUAAGUUCACGGGUUACCAAGGCAACGAAGCGUAGACGAACUGAGAGGGGGAUAGGCCACACUGGAAGGGGGACAGGGACAAGACGCCUAAGGGAGGCAGCAGUAGGGAAUCGGACGCAAUGGGCGAAAGCAUGACGGAGCAAGGCCGCGUGAGUGAUGAAGGUCUUCGGAUCGUAAAAAUCGGUUAUGAGGGAAGAACAAAUGUGGAAGGAAAUAUGCACGGAUUGACGGUACCUAAUCAGAAAGCAACGGCUAACUACGUG
rnacentral:rRNA from 1 species